UACGUAGGGUGCGAGCGUUUGUCCGGAAUUAUUGGGCGUAAAGAGCUUGUAGGCGGUUUGUCGCGUCUGCCGUGAAAAUCCGAGGCUCAACCUCGGACUUGCGGUGGGUACGGGCAGACUAGAGUGUGGUAGGGGAGACUGGAAUUCCUGGUGUAGCGGUGAAAUGCGCAGAUAUCAGGAGGAACACCGGUGGCGAAGGCGGUUCUCUGGGCCUGUACUGACGCUGAGGAGCGAAAGCGUGGGGAGCGAACAGG
rnacentral:rRNA from 1 species